AGUGAACGCUGGCGGCGUGCUUAACACAUGCAAGUCGAACGCGAAAGGGGGAGCAAUCCUCCGAGUAGAGUGGCGAACGGGUGAGUAAUGUGUGAGCAACCUGCCUUUCGGAGUGGGACAACCCGGGGAAACCUGGGCUAAUACCGCAUAAAGUCCGGGGGCUUCGGCCCUCCGGCCCAAAAGAUGGCCUCUGCUUGCAAGCUAUCGCCGGGAGAUGGGCUCACAUCCUAUCAUGCUUGUUGGUGAGGUAACGGCUCACCAAGGCGGUGACGGGUAGCCGGCCUGAGAGGGUGUCCGGCCACACUGGAACUGAGACACGGUCCAGACUCCUACGGGAGGCAGCAGUGGGGAAUAUUUCGCAAUGGGCGCAAGCCUGACGAAGCAACGCCGCGUGGAGGAUGACGGCCCUAGCAGUCUUAAACUCCUGUCUAGUGGGACGAAAGGUUUGCGGGGAAAUACUCCGCAGAUUUGACGGUACCGCUGGAGGAAGCUCCGGCCAACUCCGUGCCAGCAGCCGCGGUAAUACGGAGGGAGCAAGCGUUACUCGGAAUUACUGGGCGUAAAGGGCGCGUAGGCGGUCCUGUAAGUCCCGUGUGAAAGCCCCAGGCCUAACCUGGGAAGUGCACGGGAUACUGUGGGACUUGAGUGCUGGAGAGGAAGGCGGAAUUCCCGGUGUAGCGGUGAAAUGCGCAGAUAUCGGGAGGAACACCAGCGGCGAAGGCGGCCUUCUGGACAGCUACUGACGCUGAGGCGCGAAAGCCAGGGGAGCAAACGGGAUUAGAUACCCCGGUAGUCCUGGCCCUAAACGAUGUGCACUUGGUGCGGGUGCGUGUUGCAUCUGCGCCGUAGCUAACGUGUUAAGUGCACCGCCUGGGGAGUACGGUCGCAAGGCUGAAACUCAAAGGAAUUGACGGGGGCCCGCACAAGCGGUGGAGCAUGUGGUUUAAUUCGAUGCAACGCGAAGAACCUUACCGGGGUUCGAACUGCAGAAGUAACAGCCAGAAAUGGUUGCCCCCAGCAAUGGGCCUCUGUAGAGGUGCUGCAUGGCUGUCGUCAGCUCGUGUCGUGAGAUGUUGGGUUAAGUCCCGCAACGAGCGCAACCCUUGCCCUUAGUUGCCUUUUGGCUCUCUAAGGGGACUGCCGGUGAAAAAUCGGAGGAAGGCGGGGAUGACGUCAAGUCAUCAUGGCCUUUAUGCCCCGGGCCACACACGUGCUACAAUGGCUGGUACAAAGGGUCGCAAGACCGUAAGGUGGAGCCAAUCCCACAAAGCCGGCCUCAGUUCGGAUUGGAGUCUGCAACCCGACUCCAUGAAGUUGGAAUCGCUAGUAAUCGCGGAUCAGCACGCCGCGGUGAAUACGUUUCCGGGCCUUGUACACACCGCCCGUCACACCACGAAAGUGGGUUGUACCUGAAGUCGCCGAGCUAACCCUCUGGGAGGCAGGUGCCCAAGGUAUGGCUCAUGAUUGGGGUG
rnacentral:rRNA from 1 species